GGAAACUGUGGUUGCGGAUCUGCCUGCAAGUGCGGCAAUGGUUGCGGAGGUUGCAAAAUGUACCCAGACUUGGAGAACACCACCACCGAGACACUUGUCCUCGGCGUUGCUCCA